rnacentral:rRNA from 1 species
AUGAACGCUAGCUACAGGCUUAACACAUGCAAGUCGAGGGGCAUCAGGAAGAAAGCUUGCUUUCUUUGCUGGCGACCGGCGCACGGGUGAGUAACACGUAUCCAACCUGCCCUUUACUCGGGGAUAGCCUUUCGAAAGAAAGAUUAAUACCCGAUGGCAUAAUGAUUCCGCAUGGUUUCAUUAUUAAAGGAUUCCGGUAAAGGAUGGGGAUGCGUUCCAUUAGGUUGUUGGUGAGGUAACGGCUCACCAAGCCUUCGAUGGAUAGGGGUUCUGAGAGGAAGGUCCCCCACAUUGGAACUGAGACACGGUCCAAACUCCUACGGGAGGCAGCAGUGAGGAAUAUUGGUCAAUGGGCGGUAGCCUGAACCAGCCAAGUAGCGUGAAGGAUGAAGGUCCUAUGGAUUGUAAACUUCUUUUAUACGGGAAUAAAGUGGUCCACGUGUGGGCUUUUGCAUGUACCGUAUGAAUAAGCAUCGGCUAACUCCGUGCCAGCAGCCGCGGUAAUACGGAGGAUCCGAGCGUUAUCCGGAUUUAUUGGGUUUAAAGGGAGCGUAGGUGGACUGGUAAGUCAGUUGUGAAAGUUUGCGGCUCAACCGUAAAAUUGCAGUUGAUACUGUCAGUCUUGAGUACAGUAGAGGUGGGCGGAAUUCGUGGUGUAGCGGUGAAAUGCUUAGAUAUCACGAAGAACUCCGAUUGCGAAGGCAGCUCACUGGACUGCAACUGACACUGAUGCUCGAAAGUGUGGGUAUCAAACAGGAUUAGAUACCCUGGUAGUCCACACAGUAAACGAUGAAUACUCGCUGUUUGCGAUAUACAGUAAGCGGCCAAGCGAAAGCAUUAAGUAUUCCACCUGGGGAGUACGCCGGCAACGGUGAAACUCAAAGGAAUUGACGGGGGCCCGCACAAGCGGUGGAUUAUGUGGUUUAAUUCGAAGCAACGCGAAGAACCUUACCAGGGUUUGACAUCCUGCUAACGAAGUAGAGAUACAUUAGGUGCCCUUCGGGGAAAGCAGAGACAGGUGGUGCAUGGUUGUCGUCAGCUCGUGCCGUGAGGUGUCGGCUUAAGUGCCAUAACGAGCGCAACCCUUAUCUUCAGUUACUAACAGGUCAUGCUGAGGACUCUGGAGAGACUGCCGUCGUAAGAUGUGAGGAAGGUGGGGAUGACGUCAAAUCAGCACGGCCCUUACGUCCGGGGCUACACACGUGUUACAAUGGGGGGUACAGAAGGCAGCUAGCGGGUGACCGUAUGCUAAUCCCAAAAUCCUCUCUCAGUUCGGAUCGAAGUCUGCAACCCGACUUCGUGAAGCUGGAUUCGCUAGUAAUCGCGCAUCAGCCACGGCGCGGUGAAUACGUUCCCGGGCCUUGUACACACCGCCCGUCAAGCCAUGGGAGCCGGGGGUACCUGAAGUACGUAACCGCAAGGAUCGUCCUAGGGUAAAACUGGUGACUGGGGCU